rnacentral:rRNA from 1 species
GACUAACGCUGGCGGCGUGCCUUACGCAUGCAAGUCGUACGGAUGGAUGCCUUCGGGUGUCCGUCAGUGGCGGACGGCUGAGUAACACGUGGGCAACCUGCCCGAAAGUGGGGGAUAACCUGCCGAAAGGUGGGCUAAUACCGCAUGUGGUUCUGGGCCCGAUGGGGCCUGGGACUAAAGGCGCAAGUCGCUUUCGGAGGGGCCCGCGGCCUAUCAGGUAGUUGGUGGGGUAACGGCUCACCAAGCCUACGACGGGUAGCUGGUCUGAGAGGACGAU